rnacentral:rRNA from 1 species
CCUACGGGAGGCAGCAGUGAGGAAUAUUGGUCAAUGGGCGCGAGCCUGAACCAGCCAAGUAGCGUGAAGGAUGACUGCCCUACGGGUUGUAAACUUCUUUUAUAAAGGAAUAAAGUGAGGCACGUGUGCCUUUUUGUAUGUACUUUAUGAAUAAGGAUCGGCUAACUCCGUGCCAUCAGCCGCGGUAAUACGGAGGAUCCGAGCGUUAUCCGGUUUUAUUGGGUUUAAAGGGAGCGUAGAUGGGUUGUUAAGUUAGUUGUGAAAGUUUGCGGCGCAACCGUAAAAUUGCAAUUGAUACUGGCAGUCUUGAGUACAGGUGAGGUAGGCGGAAUUCGUGGUGGAGCGGUGAAAUGCGUAGAUAUCACGAAGAACUCCGAUUGCGAAGGCAGCUUACUGGACUGCAACUGACAUUGAUGCUCGAAAGUGUGGGUAUCAAACAGGAUUAGAUACCCGUGUAGUC